rnacentral:rRNA from 1 species
UGAAUACGAGACGCUACGGCGUCGAAGCAGUCUAUGUCAUACUUCCAAGAAAAGCUUGCACUGUCAUAAACAAAUAAUGCCUGUACCAUAACCGACACAGGUGGGUAGGUAGAGUAUACUAAGGGGCGCGAGAUAACUCUCUCUAAGGAACUCGGCAAAAUGACUCCGUAACUUCGGGAGAAGGAGUGCCUUAUUUAUAAGGUUGCAAUAACAAGAUCCAAGCAACUGUUUAUCAAAAACACAGGUCUCCGCUAAGUCGUAAGACGAUGUAUGGGGGCUGACGCCUGCCCAGUGCCAGAAGGUUAAAGAAGUUGGUUAGCAUUAGCGAAGCUGAUAACUGAAGCCCUGGUGAACGGCGGCCGUAACUAUAACGGUCCUAAGGUAGCGAAAUUCCUUGUCGGGUAAGUUCCGACCCGCACGAAAGGCGUAAUGAUUUGGAUACUGUCUCGGAGAGGGGCUCGGUGAAAUAGACUUGUCUGUGAAGAUGCGGACUACCUGCACCUGGACAGAAAGACCCUAUGAAGCUUUACUGUAACCUGAAAUUGAAAUUGGACUUUAUUUGCGCAGUAUAGGUGGGAGGCGUUGAGAAUAUUCUUGCGGGAAUAUUGGAGCCAUCAGUGAGAUACCACUCUUGUAAUGUUAGAUUUCUAACUUUGAAUCAUUAUCUGGUCAAAGAACAGUUUCAGGCGGGCAGUUUGACUGGGGCGGUCGCCUCCUAAAUGGUAACGGAGGCGCACAAAGGUUUCCUCUGAACGGGUAGAAAUCGUAUCUAGAGUGUAAAGGCAUAAGGAAGCUUGACUGUGAGACCUACAAGUCGAGCAGGGACGAAAGUCGGUCUUAGUGAUCUGACGGUGCUGAGUGGAAAGGCCGUCACUCAACGGAUAAAAGUUACUCUAAGGAUAACAGGCUGAUCUCCCCCAAGAGUUCACAUCGACGGGGAGGUUUGGCACCUCGAUGUCGGCUCAUCGCAUCCUGGGGCGGUAGUACGUCCCAAGGGUUGGGCUGUUCGCCCAUGAAAGCGGUACGCGAGCUGGGUUCAGAACGUCGUGAGACAGUUCGGUCCAUAUCCGGUGUAGGCGUUAGAAUAUUGAGAGGAGCCUUCUUUAGUACGAGAGGACCGAGAAGGACAUACCUCUGGUGUACCAGUUAUCGUGCCAACGGUAAACGCUGGGUAGCUAUGUAUGGAGAGGAUAACCGCUGAAAGCAUCUAAGUGGGAAGCCCACCUCAAGAUAAG